rnacentral:rRNA from 1 species
GACGAACGCUGGCGGCGUGCUUAACACAUGCAAGUCGAACGGAAAGGCCCUGCUUUUGUGGGGUGCUCGAGUGGCGAACGGGUGAGUAACACGUGAGUAACCUGCCCUUGACUUUGGGAUAACUUCAGGAAACUGGGGCUAAUACCGGAUAGGAGCUCCUGCUGCAUGGUGGGGGUUGGAAAGUUUCGGCGGUUGGGGAUGGACUCGCGGCUUAUCAGCUUGUUGGUGGGGUAGUGGCUUACCAAGGCUUUGACGGGUAGCCGGCCUGAGAGGGUGACCGGCCCCAUUGGGACUGAGGUACGGACCAGACUCCUACGGGAGGCAGCAGUGGGGAAUAUUGCACAAUGGGCGGAAGCCUGAUACAGCAGCGCCGCGUGCGGGAUGACGGCCUUCGGGUUGUAAACCGCUUUCGCCUGUGACGAAGCGUGGGUGACGGUAAUGGGUAAAGAAGCACCGGCUAACUACGUG